GGAGAGGUCGCAUAGUGGCCUAGUGCGCACGCUUGGAAAGCGUGUAUGUCCGCAAGGGCAUCGAGGGUUCAAAUCCCUCCCUCUCCG
rnacentral:tRNA from 1 species